AAUCGAAGGUCCCAGCAGGGAGGUUGAUUUACUCUAAACGAGUCCUCUCUAACACAUUAAUUUACCUUCGAAAAUAUAUUUGCCGAAUCGUAGGAUGCUCCGAAAGUUUCCAUUUUGGUGAUAUCUUGAAAUCUCGGCUAAAUUGUU